rnacentral:tRNA from 1 species
GAGGGUAUUUCUCAGUGGUAGAGUGUGUGCUUAGCAUGCACGAGGUCCUGGGUUCAAUCCCCAGUAUCUCCA